AGAGUUUGAUCCUGGCUCAGAACGAACGCUGGCGGCGUGGAUAAGACAUGCAAGUCGAACGAGAGAAUUGCUAGCUUGCUAAUAAUUCUCUAGUGGCGCACGGGUGAGUAACACGUGAGUAACCUGCCCCCGAGAGCGGGAUAGCCCUGGGAAACUGGGAUUAAUACCGCAUAGUAUCGAAAGAUUAAAGCAGCAAUGCGCUUGGGGAUGGGCUCGCGGCCUAUUAGUUAGUUGGUGAGGUAACGGCUCACCAAGGCGAUGACGGGUAGCCGGUCUGAGAGGAUGUCCGGCCACACUGGAACUGAGACACGGUCCAGACACCUACGGGUGGCAGCAGUCGAGAAUCAUUCACAAUGGGGGAAACCCUGAUGGUGCGACGCCGCGUGGGGGAAUGAAGGUCUUCGGAUUGUAAACCCCUGUCAUGUGGGAGCAAAUUAAAAAGAUAGUACCACAAGAGGAAGAGGCGGCUAACUCUGUGCCAGCAGCCGCGGUAAUACAGAGGUCUCAAGCGUUGUUCGGAAUCACUGGGCGUAAAGCGUGCGUAGGCUGUUUCGUAAGUCGUGUGUGAAAGGCGCGGGCUCAACCCGCGGACGGCACAUGAUACUGCGAGACUAGAGUAAUGGAGGGGGAACCGGAAUUCUCGGUGUAGCAGUGAAAUGCGUAGAUAUCGAGAGGAACACUCGUGGCGAAGGCGGGUUCCUGGACAUUAACUGACGCUGAGGCACGAAGGCCAGGGGAGCGAAAGGGAUUAGAUACCCCUGUAGUCCUGGCAGUAAACGGUGCACGCUUGGUGUGCGGGGAAUCGACCCCCUGCGUGCCGGAGCUAACGCGUUAAGCGUGCCGCCUGGGGAGUACGGUCGCAAGAUUAAAACUCAAAGAAAUUGACGGGGACCCGCACAAGCGGUGGAGUAUGUGGCUUAAUUCGAUGCAACGCGAAGAACCUUACCUGGGCUUGACAUGUAAUGAACAACAUGUGAAAGCAUGCGACUCUUCGGAGGCGUUACACAGGUGCUGCAUGGCCGUCGUCAGCUCGUGUCGUGAGAUGUUUGGUUAAGUCCAGCAACGAGCGCAACCCCUGUUGCCAGUUACCAGCACGUGAAGGUGGGGACUCUGGCGAGACUGCCCAGAUCAACUGGGAGGAAGGUGGGGACGACGUCAGGUCAGUAUGGCCCUUAUGCCCAGGGCUGCACACGUACUACAAUGCCCAGUACAGAGGGGGCCGAAGCCGCGAGGCGGAGGAAAUCCUAAAAACUGGGCCCAGUUCGGACUGUAGGCUGCAACCCGCCUACACGAAGCCGGAAUCGCUAGUAAUGGCGCAUCAGCUACGGCGCCGUGAAUACGUUCCCGGGUCUUGUACACACCGCCCGUCACAUCAUGGAAGCCGGUCGCACCCGAAGUAUCUGAAGCCAACCGCAAGGAGGCAGGGUCCUAAGGUGAGACUGGUAACUGGGAUGAAGUCGUAACAAGGUA
rnacentral:rRNA from 1 species